rnacentral:tRNA from 1 species
GCCCUGGUGGUGGAAUUGGUAGACACGCAGGACUUAAAAUCCUGUGAGCCGAAAAGCUCGUACCGGUUCGAUUCCGGUCCGGGGCA